UUACGGCCAAAUCAUGUUCAAACAUUGAUUCUCGUACGAUCACCGUUGUUAAGCAACGUCGAGCCUGGUCAGUAACUAGAUGGGUGACCGUUUAGGAAUAGCAGGUGCUGUAAG